UAUAAGGGAUUUUGAGUUUUUUGUGUGAACUGUUUGACCACUCGUCUUAUUAAAAUAAUUUUGGAAUUAUUAUUUAUUUUUUUGACUUACUUUAUUAUCUAAAGUACUUUAAACACAACUUUUCGUUUUUUAUAUUUGUACAAAUUUUUUAAAUAAGACGAGUGGUCAAACAGUUCAACCAAAAACUCAAAAAUCCCUUAUA
rfam:Oryza glaberrima chromosome 8 Oglab08_0086_8, whole genome shotgun sequence.